rnacentral:rRNA from 1 species
AGCAGCCGCGGUAAUUCCAGCUCCAAUAGCGUAUAUUAAAGUUGUUGCAGUUAAAAAGCUCGUAGUUGAAUUUCGGGAUCAGUAUGUUGGUCGUGCUUCGGUACGUACUGUCAUUACUGGUUUCUACCUUCUGAAGAACCUUGAUGUCAUUAAUUUGGUGUCUUGGGGAAUCAGGACUGUUACUUUGAAAAAAUUAGAGUGUUUAAAGCAAGCAUACGCUUGAAUACAUUAGCAUGGAAUAAUGAAAUAGGACGUUUGAUUCUAUUUUGUUGGUUUCUAGGAUCGACGUAAUGAUUAAUAGGGAUAGUUGGGGGCAUUAGUAUUCAAUUGUCAGAGGUGAAAUUCUUGGAUUUAUUGAAGACUAACUACUGCGAAAGCAUUUGCCAAGGAUGUUUUCAUUAAUCAAGAACGAAAGUUAGGGGAUCGAAGACGAUCAGAUACCGUCGUAGUCUUAACCAU